UACUGUAUAUACGAAUAACAAAAUCAGCCGCAACCCAUUCUAAAAAAAACCAUCAGUGGUUCUGGCCGUCGAGCUUCUCCGAUCAGUGCCGCGAACGAUGAACCUGUCGACAUCCAAGAAGAAAAUCGCGCUCGCUAGUAGACGCCAUUACCGAAACCUGCUAGCUCCGACGAAGCCCUUUUCUUCUAUUCGAUCAGUGAAGCUCUCUCUGAUCUGUGCAAUCCAGAGCUCCGGGCUGUAUAAAACUCUACUGCAAACCCUAAUCUUCGCAGCCGCCUCUCUUCUCGAUAUGUCUCCUCAGUCCUCAGGUAGUUAAUUUCACUACCAUUCAUGAUCUUCUAAAUACAUGUUUGUUUUUCCAAUUUUAUGUACUCUUGAGCAAGUUCUUUAUCUUUAUGGUUCUUCUUGUUAUUACUAUGUUAUAUAUCCUUAUGAUCGUGAUAUGCUAGCUUAAGUCAUGAAUAAAAAUACCUCAACUACUAACAUGAAUAUUUCAAAUUCUUUACUUGUUGGGAUGAGAAAAAAGCACAAUGGAAUGAGUAGAAUCAGAAAGAUAUAGGUAUGUUUUUGGGACAUUUCUUUUGUUAAUUAAGGAUGUUACAUAUAUGUGUUCUUUCUCGUGUAUUUGAAAAUAUUAAGUACAUCAUUUGCAUUAAUUAAUCAAGCCUUCUUUGUUUUUUUUUGACAAAUUAAACUAUAACCCUUGCUUAAAAGAAAUUUCAUCAAACUUUUCAAUGAGUCUCAUGUAUGAGAUGUGAUUCUUUUGUAUCAUGUCCGUUCAACCAAAACUACAAACAGUAUUGCAGGCAGUAUUGUGGACAAAUGCAAUUUGUUGAUCCAUUUGUAGGAGUGAAAGUAUAGUGUCGGCCACAAACCAAGUCUAUAUUUAGCUUUAUACUUAUUGUUUUAUUAAGGAAUUUUUUUUAGGGAUUUUUUUUUCGGUCUAGGUUUUUUAUAUUUAGAAUUUUUUUUUAUUGUGUUUGGUUUUUUGAUUCGAUCGAAGUUGCAGACGUAUUAUGUUAGAGUGCUAAAUACUAAAUUAAAAUAACGCAUUACUUCUAUGUCUGUUUCUUUAUAAUCAUUGUGCUAUACCCUUUCCCUUUUUUGUGAUUUUAUUUAUUUGAUUUUUGCUGCUAAUUAUUGAAUUAAGCAAAAGAUUUUAUUAAAAGAACAAAAACUCCCAACUCAAAUUAUAAAUAUUCAAAGAUUUUCUCAAGUUGGAGAGAUAAAAUCAGGAGAACACAGACAAUGUAUUAUGAAUUUUUGAAGGUCAAAGUGAAUUUUAUGCUUGAUAAGUUAGAAAAGAUGAUUGCACCUAUCUGAACUUCCAUUGCUUAGUCACUUUUAAAGACCAAAAUUCCCUCUUUCGUUUUAUGUAGUAAAUCAAGUAAAGUAUUAGGAGGAAAUAACUCGCCUCUUUUGUUUUUUGUUAUAUUCCAUAAGAUGAUACAUUUAUUGAAAUUUCAUGAGAUGCCAAUAAAAUUUAAGAUGGUGACCACGACAUUAAUGUGUUUUUACCCCCUCAAUAACUCUAGCUUUCAUGGGGUACACUAUGCAUGAUCAUUGACAAAAAAAAAAGGGACAAUUUGCUAUUCAUGUCCCAGUCCUACCUAAAUUUCAAUGUUGACGUUGAUAUCGAAUAUAAUAUAUCAUACUUCCACUAAAUCAAGAUGUAGAAAUUUAUUAUCCAAUUUUUUAUUACUGUGUUGAAACAUGAGUUAAACAUGAUGAUUCUUAUAAGGUAGCCUAAUGAAGUUAUGGUUUCAACUGGUCAAUUAUGUCUUAGCCAUUUCAUUCGAUAUUAUGUCUCAUUACUAAAGGUUUAACAAGUGUGGAUGUGUGAUUUUUCUUUGAUUACAUAAGGUUGUAUACUUUAAAUAUUAUUUGUUUACAAAUGUAAACAUUUAAAUGUUGUGAUAUAUAGAGUGAACCUCAUUGAAUUUAUCAACAUGUAGAGGCUUGAUUUUUGAUUUUUGAUUUUUGAUUUUUCCUUUUUCAAUGAUACAAGGAAUCCCUUUAUUUGGUUGCAUAAGUAAAUGAGUCAUGACUUGUUUUGAGAAACAAUCCAGUUACCAACAAAAUGAAUGAGCAAAGAUGGUCAAUUAACAAUCAAUUUCUAUCUGUUUAUGGGAAUUGGCUUGAUCACACAAUUCCUAUCUGUUUGUUUAGCAUUGAAACACGUUUUCUUUUUCUUUGAAGUGUUUUAACUUUCUCUUUUACUUGAAUGCUGACUAGUCUAAUGCAUAUCAUUGUCACAUAUCUCUAGAUUUCUUUUAUACUGUGGAAAUUUCUGUGCAAUUUACCUUAUACUUUAUGAGAGGUGAACAUAGAUUAAAGUCUAAACAUCUUUAAAUGAGGUUCCACUUAAGAUGAGUGUUUUAAAAGGAAUCACUGUAGUUCAAUUGUACAACAUAUAUUGACGAGUAGGAAGCUAUGAAAGGAAAACUUAUCAUAAGGAAACUAGCAGUAUAGAACUGCCAACUUAUGUGAGUUGGUCCGUCUUCUGGAGGGGUGGGCAGCAAUUGGGUGGGUUUGGAAUGGGUUGGGUAUGAAUGGGUCAGUAUCCCAUUCUUAACCAACCAAUAGUGGGUCAUAAAUGGGUAAGGGCUCAAAUGGGCUGGUCAAAAUGGGCUUAACCCAUUCAGCCCCCUUUUUUUUUGUAUUUUUAUUUUUUUAACUUUCCUACCAUCCACGGCUAAAAAAAAAAAAUUAAUAAUUUGUUCUUUCAUUAAUUUUUUUAUUUCAAGCAUUACAAUUUUUUUUUUCCCUUAGGGAAAAGUCACGAUACAACUUAAUCAACAAUAAUAAUUAAUUUUUUGAUUUCAAGAGUUGCAAUAUAUAUUUUUUAAUUUAUUUUGAAAAAAGUCACUAUACAACUUACUCAACAAUAUUAAUUACAUAUAUUUAAAAAAAGGAGUUCUGAACCAAAAUUUUAAUUAAUUGUUAGUCAUUUAUUUUAUACAAUAAAAUAAAAUUUGAAGGAAGAAUAAAGUGAGAGAUGUAUCACAAGGAAAAAAAAGAAGAAAAGAACCACCCAGGAGAGAGAAUACAAGGGAAAAAAAAAAAAAGGAAAAAGAAAAAGAAAAGAAAAGAAGCAGCGAAAGUAUUGCCCUAGUUCUGAUUUUCAAUCCCAGUUUAUAGUUUUGAUUGAUCAUGUCGAUAGUUUUCAAUAUAACUCUGAUAAUGACAGUGUAAAGCAGAGUAAUUUUUUUAGUUCUAAUUAUGGAGUUUUUGCUGAAAAUUGGGUUUGGUCCUAUAUUUUCAAGAUUCAUAUGGUACUUAUAACACAAGUGAAAUCAUAGAUAUCUCAUACAAAGAUGGUGUCUACUCAAAGGCCCACGCUUGAUAAUUAGGAAGAACUUCAUAAUAGAAUUCUGAGAGCAAAUACAUCAGAUGAUAAAUUUGGCCUUGCAUGAAUUUUUUGCCUGCAGAAUCUAUGGAUUUCAAAAAUAAAGAAUGUACAUGAAUGAUCAAGUACUAGAUUAAUUUUGUCCCAGUUUGACAAAAGCAAACCACAAUUCAGACUCAACUCGGAACGACCGUACUUGCAACACCGUGUCUUCUUGAAGCCUAUUCCUCGACACAACCGAGUUCCAGCCCGAGACCAACGAGUACGACGAGAUGACUCUGCCCACUUCUUUCUUGGGCAUGAUUGUCAAGUAACAUUGCUCCUCAUCGGAGGAUUCCAAUCAGAGGCACCGGUUUCCGGGCAACUUUCCAUUGCAUUUAGAUUCAAUAGAUUUAGAGUUGAGAAAGUGUUUCUCUUUCGGUGUGAGAAACUCAGGAUUCUUGAUGAGAUUGAACGGCAACAACAAACGUCCCUGCCAUGAGUUUAUGUCGGUUUUGGUAAGCCUCUUUUGUACCACAAACAUUGGCUCCGAACCCUUGACUUGUAGGAUUCGAUUCUUAAAGAUUUCAAGCAAAUCUGGAGGCACUUGUGAGUAGUCAUGAUCGGGACGAGGCAAUACCAUCUUCUUCACUACUGCCUUCUUCUUCUUCUUUUCCUGAACUGCUUCUUCUUCUUCUUCUUCUUCUUCUUGUGGUUGAUGACCACAAUGAUGAUGAUGAUCAAAACAACAUUGAUGGUAGAUUCUUGAACAUUCACCGUCUUCAGAUAUGUUAUAUAUAUCAUAUUGUAUAUGACCUAAACAUUCACAGAAGUCCCUAAUGCACCUUGGUGACAUACCUUUGUUGUCUUGAUCAAGAUUUUGAACUGCUUUUAGCAAGACUUUGGCCUCCAUCAAAUCAUCAAAAAGAAGGUAUGCAGCAAAUUACCGAACAUUUUCCUUAUUCUUCUUUAUCAUCAAUUUCAACUUUAUGGUAGGAAUAUCAUGUGUAUUAACGGGAAUCACCAUUUUUAGAGAGAGAACUUUAAUAUGGAGAAAGUGAGAUCGAGAAGGACAAUGAUCGAUAAUGGCUAAUUGUGAUCACAAUAGUAGAUAUAUAUAGAAAUAUGGUUUGUUAUAGAUUUGGAAAUAUAUGUAUAUGGGUAGGUCGACUUUUUUGUUAAGCAAUCAAGUAAAUCUCUUCUAAAAUUUAAUUAAAAUUUAAUUAUUAAUGAACUAAGUAACUUGAUUGAAGAAAGAUUUUUUAAUUAUGCAGGGAUGAGGGAUAUAUAAAUUACUUAGUUCAUUGAAGAAAGAUUUUUUAAUUAUUCAGGGAUGAGGGAUAUAUAUAUAUAUAUAUAUAAUUAAAAAAAAAAAAAAAAAAAAAUUCAAUCAAGUUACUUAGUUAUAUAGGUUGCUAUCUUGUUAACCAAAUUGUAAUAAAUUAAACUACCGAAUUGUUACCUCUGUAUGUAUAUUUUUUUAACUAGGGUCAGACCAUAGGAAGGCUUUGAAGGUUAUAUUUAAUUCAUUGAUAAUGCUUUGGGGAAGGAUAAAAUUAGAACUCCAAAUGUAUAUGCCUGCAAAUGAUUGGUCUCUCCUUGUUCAGUGGGCAAUCCUAGCUGUGACUUUGUCAAUUAAAAUCCUGCAAUCAGUGGAUUUUAACGUGGAGUUAAUGAAUGGUACCCCCAAGUAUCUUACAGGUAGUUCACCUUUGUCGACUCCCAAAUAAGAGAGAAAUGAGCACUCUGUAGAUUCAUCGACUCUUGAAAGGAAGAUGAGACUUUUGGAAGAGUUGGCUUGCAGACCUAAAAGGGAGGAGAAAGUAUCUAUAACAAGCUUAAGUGUUUGUAUUGAGGGUAAGCUAGCAUGAGAGAAAAACAUUAAAUCAUCAGCAAAAAAGCAAAAAUAAGGUGUGUUCAUGUCAAGUCUUUACACCUCCAAUGGUAUUUGAAAUGCCAUCUAGAGAGUUUGCUUACAAUUUAUGAGAAUACUUGCAUAACAAUAACAAAGAGAAAGGGUGAUAAUGGAUCACCCUGAUUCAGAUGGUGAAUGAGGGGGAAUUCAGAUGGUGAUAAUGGAUCACCCUUGAUCCAGGAAAUGUCGGUUGGGGGAAAUCCCAUGAAACUGAAUCAAAGGAUUUUUUGAGGUCAAUUUUGAGGGUAAGCCUUGGGGAGUUGCCUUGUCUAUGGUAGCCAGUUAGGUGUUCUUGUGCUAAUAGAACAGUAUCAUUAAUUACUAUUCCUUGAAUGAAAGCAAAUUGGGAAGGACCAAUUAUGUGAGGGACUGUGGGCUUGUGCUUAUUGGCCAAAAGUUUAGAGAUGCAUUUGUAAAUGGUAGAGUAGUAAGAUGGACCUAAAAUCAUUCAUAGCAGAGGGGUUAAGUCCUUUGGGAACAAGUGAGAUGUAAGUUGAGUUGACUUGCUUAAGUAAUUUCCCAGUGAGAAAAAAAUUCUCCAUUAGGCCAAGUUUUUUUUAAAAAGAAAGCAUUGAAGCCAUCUGGCCCAGGUACUUUGUCACUCUUUAGUGAGAACAUGCCUAAGGCGCACACUAGCCAGCAUGUCGCAUGAUUUUUCACUGCAAGUUCCGACAGCUAGCCGACACAUUGGGGGAUGCAUCAUCAUCUUACUCAAGUUUUUUUUUUUUCGAUGACCUUUUUCCUUAAGUUAUAUGCUUCAUAUAUUGAAUAAGUUGAGGGAAUCAAUUGAAAGAGUGUGCUGAAUAUUAAAAUGGGUGUAAAUAUAGUUGGAGAGAUGAGUAUUUUGUAAUUGAUCGUUUUUUUCACUUUAACAAAGGGUAAUACUUGAAUUUUAAUUAAGAAUAUUAAGUACAUGACAUCAACAAUUUUGGUAGUUGAGUUAAAAAAGGGAGGUUCAUGUUAAAAGAUUUGUUUUUUAGAAGCAGUCAGAGUAAUAUUUGAAAUUAUAGAAAAAAUUAGUGUAAUUAUGAUAAAUUUUAGAGGAAGUUGAUUACUGUAAAUUGUCCAUUUAUUCUUUCAUGUAGAAAAAUUAAUAAGAUUAAAUGUUAAAAGAUUUGUAUUUUUAGAAGAAGUCAAAAUAAUAUUCGAAAUUAUAGAGAAAAUUAGUGUAAUUAUGAUAAACUUAGAGGAAGUUGAUUAGUGUAAAGGAAAAUGAUAUUUACACCGAUGAAUUUGGCCGGUUACUUUGGCAGAAUUUAUGCGGCACUCCAACUGUCAAAAACAAUUAGUGUUAGUAUUUAUAUAAGUUAGACAAAAGUACCCUUUCAAAAUAUGGGUACACUGUUGGGGAAAAUUACUCUUCUUUCACCGCCAGCUUGCCAUCAACCGUGCAUCCUUGCACCAUCGCUGGCUCGACGCCGCCAUUCGGUUCUUAUUCAGUCCUCCGUUCCAAGCUCACUGUCGGUUCUUGUUUAUUCCGCCAGACUGUUCAUGAAACGUCUCUGCAGAUAUCUGCUCAGUCCUUCUCCGGUGACCUAUCCUCUCUACCGGAUCUCGUCUCAGUCCCGCACUCUCACCGAACCAGCACGUGCCUACGCCAGCGACCUGUUAUUCUCUCUGCUGGAUUCCAUCUUUCUGAUGCGGCCCGUUGUUCGUUCUCAUCGUUGUCGCCAUACCAGUUCGUUGUCGCCAAACCAGUUAUGCACCGUCACUGGUAAUCUUUUCUGUUACUCUCGUCUCUAUUGAGUUUUACUGGCGUUCCAUCACAACAAGUCCAGUUCAUCGCCGCCGAUCUUCCAUCACGGGAAGAUGAAUCCGCCGUAUAUUCUUUCUCCUUUUAUUUAUUUAUUUUUUAAUUAUUAAAAUUACUUAUGUGGACUACCACACGUGUUUUGCCAAACAAAUCUGCUAAAGUCAUCGGCCCAUCUAUCACGACCCUUAGUGUAAAUUUUCCAUUUAUCCUUUCAUGUAAAAAAAUGUCCACGAGUUACAAGUAAAUGAGGGUGGUAAUAAGAUUAAAUGUUUACUAUUUUGAUUAGUUAGUAUCCAUUGUAUUUACUAGUUUUUCUACUUUAAGGAGAAUUUUGUAUAAUUGGCUUACUCAUUUUACAUACCAAAAUCUACAAAAUUAAUAAAUCCCAAGAAACGCAUUUUAGUUCUAUUAAAAUAAAAUCUCUCUUUCAUCAAGUUAUAAGAAUCCUUACUUCAUUAAUUACACAUUAUUAGAUUUAAAAUAAGAUUAAUUAGCUUGGUUAACAAGAAAAUAACCCAUAUAUAUAUAUAUAUAUAUAUAUAUUUCUUGUUAAUUAAGUAAAUUAAUCAUAUUUCAAAUCUAAUAGGAUUUAAAAUAAUUGUGAUCCCUCAUUCCUGAAUCAUUAAAAAAUCUCUCUUCGAUCAAGUUACGUAGUUCAUUAAUUUCACAGCGAUAGUUAGAUUUCAAGUGGGAUUUGGUUGAUUAUUUGAUUGCUUAACAAGAAAGUCGGCCGACCUCUAUACAUAUAUUCCCAGAUCUAUCACAAACCUUAUUUCUAUAUAUAAUUACUAUUGUUAUCACAAUUAGCCAUCAUCGGUCAUUCAUUCCCUUCUCGAUCUCACUUUUUCCAUAUUAAAGUUCUCUCAAAAAAUGAUGAUUAUUGUUAAUACACAUGAUGUUUUUACCAUGAAGUUGAAAUUGAAGAAAAAGAUGGAAAAUGUUCGGUAUUUGGUUGCAUAUCCUCUUUUUGGUGAUUUGAUGGAGGACGGAGUCUUGUUGAAGACAGUUCAAAAUCUUGAUUAAGACAACAAAGUUAUUGUACCAAGAUGCAAAAGAGACUUCCGUAAAUAUUUGAGUCAUAGACAAUAUAAUAUGUAUAACAUAUUCGAAGACGGUGAAUGUUUAAGAACUUACCAUCAAUGUUGUUUUAAUUAUCAUCAUCGUUGUGGUCACCAACCACAACAAGAAGCAACAAUAACAGUAAAGGAAAAAAAGAAAAGAAGGCAGUAAUGAAGAAAAUGGUGUUUCCUCCUCUUGAUCAUGACUACUCACGCCUGAAAACUUCAUGAAUUGAAUCCGACAAGUUGAGGGUUCAAAGCCAAUGUUUGUAGCACGGAAGAGGCUUACCAACACCGACAUCAAGCCAGGGACGUUUGUUGUUGCCAUUCAGCCUCAUCAAGAAUCCUGAGUUCCUCACACCAGAAGAGAAACACUUUCUCAACUCCAAAUCCAUUGAAUUUGAAUGCAAUGGAAAGUUGCCUGGAAUACGUGCCUCUGAUUGAACCCUCCGGUGAGGAGCAAUGUUACUUGACAAUCAAGAGGGCGGGACAUGCCGAAGAAAGAAAUGGGCAGAGUUAGCUCAUUGCUCUUGGAUUGGAACUCGGUUGUGUCGAGGAAUAGACUUCAAGAAGACACAGUGUUGAAAGUAUGGUCGUUCCGAGUUGAGUCCGAAUUGUGGUUUGCUUUUGUCAAACUGGGGAAAAAUUAAUCUCGUACUAGAUCAUUCAUGUAAACAUAUUCUUUAUUUUUUAAAUCCAUAGAUUAUGUAGGCAAAAAAUUCAUGUAAGGCCAAAUUUAUCAUCUGAUGUAUUUGCUCUCAGAAUUCUAUUAUGUAGUUCUUCCUAAUUAUCAAGCCCGGGCCUUUGAGCAGACUCCAUUUUUGUAUGAGAUGUCUAUGAUUUCACUUGUGUUACAAGUCCUCAAAUUCAUUUUGGUUAUACAAAAAAAGGCUGAAGGCCACUUCUUCUCAAGAUUUUAUCCUCAUCCCUUUUGACGUUACCAUCUGAAUCUUGAAAAUAUAGGACCAAACCCCAAAAUUAGAACUCUGCUUUACACUGUUAUUAUCAGAGUUAUAUUAAAAACUCUUGACAUGAUCUAUCAAAUCUAUGAACUGGGAUUGAAAAUCAGAACUAGGGUAAUAAAUUAAACUACCGAAUCUCGAGUUGGGCUGGGCUAACUCGUCCAACUUGCACCCCUUUUUGGGCACCCUCAAAUUGGAGGCUGAAUUUAAAAUAUAGUAGAAUUUUGACGUGGAAGGCACUGGCAAGAAAUGUCUACCAUGUAUGGAGAGAAGGAAAUAACAGAAUAUUCCUGAACAAGUCGGUACCUCCAUUACAGACCUGGAAUGCAGUGAUCAAUGCUGUGAGAUUGAAGCUUUUUUCGGUCAAGAAAUGUCGGUGCCCAUUUGCAGAGACCAUUGCCAAUGAAUGCAACCUUCUUAGCUCCUUCUUUGAACCAUCAUAAUCUAACCCCUCCUCCUCAUUUGCCACCACUCCACCACCACCUCCCCACCAACAUAACCAAUCUUAUGGGAGAUGCAUUCAGAUUGUUGAUUUCCAUCCUAGCCCUCUGAUUUUUGCUGGUUAUUAUUGCUUCAAGGACAUGGGCUUUGACUUGUUUUUACAAAAGUUUUUGGUUACCAAUUUCUGAUUGGGCUUUUGGUUGUAUGGGUUGGGUACCGCAAAAUCAACCCAACAUUUGGGCCUUGUUUUAUUUUGUUUUUGUUUUUGGCUUGUUUUCUGCCCUUGGGGUAUGCCCCAAGUAUACUAGUAUAUAUUCUUUGGUUUUAUGUAUAUACAUUUUUAUGUAGAAUACUUAGUGCCUUGUUUGUGGUUACAA